rnacentral:SRP_RNA from 1 species
GGCGCGGGUAGGGCUGGGAGGCUCGCCACCUCCCCUCGCCGAAGGCGUAAUGCGGGGCCAGUAACCCCUUACCACGUAGUGGGCAGGCACUAACCGCUUCAAGACCAGCGAUGAAUCCCGCCCUGCGGGGUCGGCGGUGGCGGAGCACCUCCUGGAGGGGAGGUGUCAACCGCCUUUGCGGGGGGAACCUGGCCAGGCCCGGAAGGGAGCAACCUAACCUCCGACGCCGACGUUCGCAGGUCACCGGGUGGAGGACGGCUUGAAUGCCGGUUAGUGUCUGUCCCUACGUGGUAAGGGGAGCCGCGCC